rnacentral:rRNA from 2 species
UGAGGGGGGCUGCUCCUAGUACGAGAGGACCGGAGUGGACGCAUCACUGGUGUUCGGGUUGUCAUGCCAAUGGCACUGCCCGGUAGCUAAAUGCGGAAGAGAUAAGUGCUGAAAGCAUCUAAGCACGAAACUUGCCCCGAGAUGAGUUCUCCCUGAGACUUAGAGUCUCCUGAAGGAACGUUGAAGACGACGACGUUGAUAGGCCGGGUGUGUAAGCGCAGCGAUGCGUUGAGCUAACCGGUACUAAUGAACCGUGAGGCUUAACCUUAC